AUGGCCUCCGCCGACGAACUCAAGAAGCUUGAGGAGGAACUCAAAAAUCACGAGUCCAUCCUCCAGACACACGAGGAAGAACUUCAGCGCCAAGCCGAAGAACGGGGGAAGGCCGUCGUCCCUCUUGCAGCCUCCACCUAUGCCGCCUCCAUUAAGAUGUUCACUACCCCAUCGGAUACCUCCCCCGCCUCGGAUUGGGGCCGCGAUGACUUCACCGUCCUCUCAUGGAUAUAUGGCUCGAUCUCUCUUGAGCUUUUCGGCAUCAUCAUGGCACCAGGCUCCACCGCCAAGCAAGUUUGGGACGCCAUCGCCAAUCUGUUCCGAGACAACAAGAAGAGUCGUGCUCUAGCUCUCGACGCCGAAUUCCGCAACACUGCUCAAGGGGACAUGACGAUCUCCGAAUAUUGUGCCAAGCUCAAGUCCCUCUCUGACGCCCUCAUCGAUGUCGGUCAGUCGGUCACCGACGAGACUCUCGUGCUCACCUUGCUUCGCGGGCUGAACGAACAGUACUCCCAUCUACGUUCGUUCUUGCCAUUCCAAGUGCCUUUUCCAUCCUUUCUCUAG
rnacentral:rRNA from 1 species